AAGUGAUGCACAAGUCAGCUGCUCACCACCCACUGACCAAUGCCAGAACCACCCUCCCCAAACCCAGACUGGCCCCACUGCUGGGUUGCUCCUCCAGGAGUGGUAUUCUGUGGUGUGGAAUAUCCCUUUGGCUGGUUCAGGUCAUCUAUCCCAGCUAGGCUCCCUCCCAGUGCCUUUUGUGCACCUUCUUACUGGUAGAGCAUGACAAAAAACACCCCAUAAAAUAAAAACAAAACAAAAGAAAACACAAACAAAAGAAAAAAGCAAAAAUUCACCGACUUAGUAUAAACACAACUUAGCAAAACCCAAAACAUCAGUGUGUUAUCAACACCAUUCUCAUUCCAAAUCUAAAACACAGCACUGUAACAGCCAGAAAGAAGAAAUUAACUCCAUCCCAGCUGAAAGCAGGGCACAGGCCAGCCGUGAGCUCUCACCUCAUGCAGGGCCAUUGCCACGGGGAAACAUGAGUGUCCUCAUUUUCCAGCCUGGCCUAGAAGCAGGAUUGCAGAGACGUUUAAGCUCAGAGCUCAAACACAGCGAGCCUUUGGGGAUUGGGGUCAGGGAGAGCUGGUAAACACUUGACUCAAUCCCAUUUGUGAAUUAAACUAAAGCAUGGGCUUAGCAGCCAUUCUGCAGGUUUAAUGAAGCUUCAGCUUGUGCAGCCUGCCUUUCAUUAACUUGGACAGACUUUGUGGAGUGCCCCAGGGUGGGGAACAUGAAAGGACGCUUGGUCCAAAUCGUUCGAGAGGCCUCUGGCCAAGCACAAACCACCAUGUUCUGCCUGCCAAGCUGUGCCUCGGCCCCUCCUGGCUGGAGGCACGCCAGGAAUACUGCUUCCCACCCCUGGAUACAGAGAAAGAGUACAGCUGUAGCUGCACAGAGAUUCCCAGCGUCAUGGUGCUUCCAGGGAAAAGCAGGCAUAGCUCCUGAAAACAGAAAAAGUAUUGUUUUUUAAAAAAAAACCCCUGUCUGAAACUGGGGCUGUCUCAACAACUUUUUAAUACAAACAAAGCAUAUUCUGUACAUUGUACUAAUUUUUAAAAGCUUGGCACUUGGUACUCGUGAGAGCAGCAUUUCCACUGCCAAGAAUAUUUGACUCUCAUAGGACAGAGAUAGCCAAAUCUAAAAAAGCACAUGGAGCAAAGACUUUGAGAAGAUUUACCCAGUUAUUUGACAGGCAGAGCAAUUGCCUCAUUUUGCCUUCUAUUUUAAUAACAUACGCUCUUCUCACUUGCCUGGAUCGAACAGGCUGAUCUCACCAGCACGCUAUUUUUCCACUCAAGCAUCUGCCCAGACAGCUUGGAGCAAGACCAAAAUGCCAGGCUGGAUUCUUUUAUUGUAGGAGCAGUAAUUAAGAUCCCAGAUGUUGCUGCUCAACACCUGUACCUUAUUUUUGUCAGGCACUGCUGGAGCUGGAACGUGACACAGCAGAAUGGCAGCAGCACUUGGUGAUGUGGCAUCCUGCUGAUGAGACAGCGGCCUGCUGGUGGCCUGUGGCCUUGUGUCAGUUCUGCCCCUGCUGGGGACAGCCCACGUGCUUUGCUCUGAGGCCUCAGCACAGAGUCAUGCCUGCCUGCUUUGGCAGAACAUUUGCUGACCUACCUGCAAGUCUUCUUUUGGCUUAGCUGUAACAGCAUUUUUUCUUCUGACCACAGGGUCAUGGAUGACUUGGUUUUACUUUUGCUUACCCCUGUAUGGUACCACUGCAGUUGUGCACAGGCAGGACUGACAGGUCAUUGUUCUGUGCAGAAGAAGAUACAACCAACAUAAAUGAUGUCAUGUGGAGAAAACACAAACCUGGAGUGGUAGCAGAGGCCUUGAGAGGAGCGGGCACAGGAUGCAGUGGGGAGGAGUACAGGAAUAAGAUGACAAAAGAUGAGGCAUGGGCUUGCCACUGGAAGCCCCAUAGCUACAAACAAACCAACCAUUGUUUUCUAUUAAAAUCACAGACCUAGAGUCAAACAAAACCACCUUUUCAUGCAUAACAGAACAAAGAACAAGUUUCCACCAUAUGCAAGAUACAUCAGCAAAUUUGGCUAUCAUGUGGGUUGCAAACCAGUGAUGAAGCAGCAAGGUGUGAUAGUUUGUUGGCAAACAUAAAAAAAGACCCCAAGUGGAUCCUGGAGCGAGAAGGAUGCAGUCAUCAUCACAUCCCUGCCAGCCAAAAGACCUUGUGUGCUGGUGACCAGACUUAGCACCCUUAUCACCACACUGGAGGCAGCAACAUGAGGACCCUGAAAAGUGAGUGCAACAUCAGGAAAGGGGCCAGGAGCUGGAACUCUCUCCAGAGGUGUUACUGGAAGAUCAACUUGUGCAGAGAACUCCAAAAUGCAUCAAGAGACACAAUACAUCAUCUCCAGAAAAUUUCCAGCCUGGGUGAUUUGACUGACCACAGCCUCAGGUCCAGGCACUGAAUUUUUUUGUCCCAACACACUGGUGAAAAGCAAAGCAAUACAUUCAGGAUGCUCUUCUAUAAUUUUUUUCAUCCUUUUUUUUUUCUUUUAGCAAUUUACCUGACACUGCCUUCUUUCUGCAAUCACUCUGAGGAGUGUUUUAUUGCAUGUUAAAAGACAAGAUAUGUAUUGAAAGUAGCAAUUUUAUUUGAGUUAAAAUUAUUUACAAAAACCCAAAGACAUACUUCAUGAAACUGGUACAAACUAUUUUUCCUGCCGUUGGCUUUUGCUCCAAAGAUCACAGCUGAGAAAUACUGUAUAAAAUAAAAAUAGGAUUGGAUUCAGAAAAGUACUCUACUGUUCUAAUUUCCAAUUGAGAGUAUUUACACAAAUAUUUACAAUGGAAAAAAUGUUACUUUAAAACUUUAAUUUGCAAGUUGACCUCAAGUACCCUUUAAUGCAGAGUUAUUUGAGGGUCUAACACACAAAAAUGCACUGCAGUUCACAGGGUGAUUUCUCCCCCCACCCUCAAAAAAAAAAUCUGCAUUUGUCAGUGCUUGACAAUUAGUUACAUUUAAAAAAAAAACUGUUAAACACUGAGGUAAAUCAAUUCCCAAACAAUUACCAGUGUAACAAAGAAAGGUAGUUGUCCCUGCUUUCCCCUACCAUCACAUUUGCAUCUUUUCUCUUGCCAUUUCUCCACAUGAAACUACAUAACCAAUUUGAAAUCUCAUAGAUGUGAAAAUCUCUGAAAUCCAAAAACUAGAUGGGCCAAAUAUUUAGUAAUUUUCUCCUGAUGCAGAUCAUUUACAUACACCUCUUCUCUCUCUCUCAGCACUGUUUUGGUUUUUUUUUGAAGGGGAGCACAACCUCAAAAACUUUUCUAAGUUACACUGAUACACUAAGUUUUAGAAGGUGAUGAGAGAAAAUGCAAAAAAAAAAUGACCAACGUAAGAUUUUUGCCGUUAAUCAGUUACUUCCUUACAGAAUUCCCAACAAUCUGCAUUAUCAAAAAUAGGAAGACAUAGAAGGCAGCCACUGUAUGUAAAAAAUUUACAGCUGGCACUGAUACAAAAGCACAAGUUCUUAACUUUAUACACGGAGAUAACACAAGAUCUAAAAGCAGGUUAGAUUUCCUGUUAUUCCCCCCUCAUUAUACAUAGAACUAAUAUUUUUAUGGCUUCAAGUUUUACAAAUUCAAUGGAGUAACAUGAUGUAACUACCCAUACAGGUAUUUAAAAAUGUCAACGAAGCGGAUCGCAGAACAGUCUGCAAAUAUUCAAGACCACCUUAAUAAAAAUACUUAAUAAUCAAUUCUGUUGGUCUGAAUAGUGAGUGCAAGAAAAAAAUUGUUUAGAAAAUCAUGUAUUUUCUGGGAUUCUUUGUUCCACUUAAGUCCUCAAACACAAUGCUUUGCUGUGAACUAAACCUCAGACUGAACAAAAUCUUAGCUAUAUCAGCAAUUUAAGGCUUUGUGUUGUAUGCAUUUCAACUCUGUCAUACUACAGAAGGAUGAAAUAGAAAGAUUAUGUCAGCUGGAAACAUUAAUCCCCAUUGGUGUUUUAGCUUCUUUAAAAUUAUUCCCCUAAAGCAUCCAAAUUAAUUGUAUUCAACAUUAUAAAACACACCUUGAGUUCUUCCUUGAAACAAAUUAAACCAGCAUUUCUUAAGUUUUUGCUUAUCGGAAGUGUAAACUACCCUGCGAGUGAGUGUUUUUUAAAUCUUUUUUUUUUUCUUUAUUUCAUUUGCAUUUUAACAGGGCACAACUUUUUACAGUCACUAUUUCUUUAGUGGAUAACAUACCCUCAAUGGCUUUAUGUGUUUAUGGGUCUGCAUGCUCUUGGAACUACAAAGCGCUAUGGUCUAGCAGGUUACAGUACAUGGGCCAUGGGAGUUUUAGAACUGAGAAAUAGUUCAACAACCUAAUUUCAAUCCAAACAGUAUAAAAAAUAAACUAUCCAAUCCUCGCCUCUUUGGAUUCCAACAAAUUUUAAAUAUAGACAGUAGUUAAAAUCACAAAAGUAUUUAAAAAUUUAUAUUUUAUGAUUUUGGAAUCAUCUUGUAAUAAAAAAAGCAGGAGCAAAUUAAACAAAAAUAGGAGCGGUGCUGCUGUCCAGAACUUCUUUAUUAGAACAUUUGUUUGAUACCUCAGUAGCUAAGCUGCCUUUGCACCUGGCUGGCAUGAAACAGUGGCUCAACAGUAAACAGCAGUUGCACUAUCAGCAGCAAGUUUUUUCCCUUGAAACUUGUCACGAACAAAGCAAGAAAAAAGAUAGGGAGGGUAAACCCUGCCAAAAAUAUUUAAAUACUGCACUGCAUCAUAAACAGCAAGGUUUCUUUAUUUACUUUCCUCAGAACCUUUUUCCCCUCAUUUUUGAUAGUUGCAGAUUGAUGUAGUAACUGUCUUUUAGAAAAUGCUGAAUGCAUGGUUAAGAGACCAGGUAGCCUUAAAAAUCCGAACACGAAUGACACAGAUGAAUGCUCUUGGUAUAUCCUUCAAGGACUUCUUUCAUGACUUCUUCUUUUGUCUAAGGGUAGCUCCAGCAUCAGAGUGCCUGCAGCGGAAGUUAAGUAUCUAGCAGUGUUCCAAGUAUUCAAUCACCCUAGAGAUAGAUUUCUGGCCUGUUGUUCCAACAGCACACUGGAAAUGCAAUAGAAAACACAAGUAACAAACAAGCAUUUGUAGCACCUCCUUCAAAUAUCUGAGAGCUAUUCUAUUUUCAGAAUUUUACUAUUUACAAUUAUGCAUCAAUAAAGGCAACUAGGUUCAGGCAGCCAAUUCAGAAAUAUCUUCCUGGCCAAUCACAAUAUAAUGACAGACAAAAUUAUGACAGACAAAUGGCCUUUCAGUAUUAAAAAACAGAAUAUUUUCCUGUGCUCUUAAGAAGACAUAAACUGAAAAAUGUUAAUGCUUCUAAAAAAGCAUGAAAUAUUAACAGAAAACAAAAUUACAAAAAUAUCUACAAAUAUAAAAUUGAAAUAUGCAUUACUUACAGUAAGGUUCAUAAAACUGAGAAAUUUUUUGAGCAUUUCAGUCAUUAUCGAGAAGUCCCCUUCAGGUAAGUACUCCCUCACAGUAGUCACAUUGAUCUAAGGAAUAAAGGAAUCUUGUUUUAUUUGGGAAACAUUUUUCUGACACAGAACUAUAAUGCUCUGCAUGUGAGAUGCACUGAGACAAGUAUAUUCACAGCAUAAAGAUGCCUUCUGCUGCCAUCUUUAUGAUUUAAGUUUCUUUUAAGCAAUACUCAUAUAAUCACUGUGUUUAUGUUUCUAGAAAACAAUUGCUUAAAUAAUUUUUUACUGUUGGUUUGUUGAAGUUUUUUAAAAAAGUAAAAUAAGAAAAAAAAAGAGACUAUCAGAUGUUCUCAGGACCCACAAGAUUAUCAAGGCACCAGAUCACUCCCCUGACAGGGAGAGGCUCUCCCUUUACAGCUGUGGAGGGCUGGGAAUUACUGAUUUCAUUGUCAGUCUCACUCAGAACACUGGAACUGUUACGGACACUGAUCAGUCCAAGACACAGAACAGCACCUUAAAGGCCAUUUCUGCACCAUGGUCAAUUCAGACAAGCCUGAAGGCAGGUCUGAACUCAUUUGCACGUGAACACAUUUUUGAUAGACUUUACUGAGUUCUCAGCCAUUGGAGUUCCAUAUUUUAACUUCAGUUUUCUAUUACAUAUUUCCAAUCCGAGACAAUUAUUUUGAACUAACAGGGACACACACAAGUUCAUCUGAUUUCAAUGGAAGAAAAAACUUAAGCAGACUGAUAAAGAAUAAGUUACUAAAUAGUAACUUCCUUAGUAAAACUACUGAGAAAGAACAGGCUUAGCCCAUUUUCCUCUGCCUUUCCAAAGCUAAUUAUUUUGCUGGCUACAAGGAAGGGGAGAGAGGUAAAGAAGGUCAAAUAUUCAAUUCCAACUGUUUUUGAUAAACACAGUGAUGUUAAAAAAAAAUUGUUUUGGCUGGAAUAACUCUGGCAACUCCUCCCAAAGCUGUACACAUCACUGUAGCUUCACCAAUGUGUGGCUCACACUGAAGCCCAAUUCAAUAAACCCCUUUCAAUGCAGCAAAUUAUCACUUCAUUAAACAUUAUACUGGACUUAGGAUCAACUUAUUCCCUUACUGGACUCUCCUGGCAGAGACAGCCUAGAAGCAAUGCUGUGUAUGAGGCCACAAUGCAGUCUUCCAUGUGCUUCCCAGCAUGCUGAAGAGCUGUAAAAGAGACAACAGUCUAUUGUAUUCUCUGAGCAGCUGGUAUCUUUUACUGCUGCAAAUACAAUCCUUCAUUAUCACUUUCCAGAAUGCUUUUUCCUCAAACAAAAUGAGCUUUUGGACUGAGAUUUCAGAGAUCAGGAAACACCACACUUACUGACUCAGCAGCACAUUCUUGACAAGAAAAAUGGUCUUCAUUCAGUUUCAACUCAUUCUGCUGCACAGUAUUUUGUCAUGUGCCAUUUCAAUGUGCAAACUGUAUGCUGAACACCCCAAACUACCAAUGCAAAUGUUUCAUGUGAUACUAUAUGCCUCUAAAACUUCCCCAGAGCAGUUUAUUGUGUUAAGGAUAACAGGCACAGCAUUUUCUGCUGAUGACUCGGCAUUUUAGGAAAAACUACAAAUAACUGCAGACACCAGUUGAUGGAGCUACAAAAAGGAGGAAGGAUAUAAAGCAAGCUUGGAGAAGGCAAUAUACCACACCUAUUAACACAAGAUGAAAACACUAUUAAAAGUCAUACACUGCAUCUACUGUUAGAAGAUUAAACAAGAAGGAAUGAUGUUUCAGAUCUAUUUUCCAGAGACAAACUAUCUAACAGGGCAGAGAUAGUCAAACUCCUGGAACAAACUACCAAAGAUGCAGUACCUCACUGCACUACACAGGCACUUCAGACACCACUGAUGAAGGGAAAAGACAGACACAAAGCAGAUGGGGACAGAAGAGGCAAAUAGGGAGAGGAGGGGGAAAAAGCCCAACUCUUAAAGUAGCUUGAAACAAGAACCCUGGAAAAUAAUAUUAAGGCAGGUAACAUUCAAGGACUGUUCCAGAAGAACAAGGUAACAUCCUAAAAGCCAUCCUUUCCAGAAUAUUUUGUACAUAGAGUGUCCCAAAAAGGUGUGGGGUUUUUUUGCGGUUUCUUUUGGUUUUUGAUUUUUUUUUUUUUUUAAGAAACAAAUAAUAGUUAAAAGAAGCACAACAGCUUCUACUUUUCAUGCUUCAGAUGUGAACGGCUUCUAUUUAUGCAGCAGUUUCACCUGGGAUACACUGAGAAAAUCUCAGCCCUAGAGACUGGAUGUAGAGAGGAAGCAGAGGACAAGGAGGGAUUUUCUGCCAUCACACUGUUCUUUGCUUUUUCCGAGCUCAUCACAGCCAGAUAACGUACCUUUAUUAAGAUCGAGUUCUUCAUCAUCUUCCUCCUUCUUAUCCUUCUCCUCAGUACUAUCUGACUUCUCUGUGGAGACCCACUGGAUCUCCCCACUUGUCUCCUGCCAUUCCCCACUCUUAUCAUGCUGAGCUGUGGGAGCUUCUUUAAUCAGCUCGUCCGUCUGGCUCUCGGCCAGCUGCGCCGCUCGCUCACACUCCAGGAACAGCUGAUGUGGGGAAUUCCAGGAGAAUUUCCAUUAGAAACUAAACCCUCAACACACUGACUUAAUACUUUUAUUUCCUGUUAAUAAUUUACCCCUUAAUACAAUUAGCCUUCAAUAUUUUUGUUAACAAUAGGCUUUUCUUCCUCAAAGGAAAAUAUAAUGUGGCCCAACAGCAGCGCUGUGCUCCAAAGCAAGAUCUCCCUGCCUGGUGCUGAACUGCUUGACAGGCUCCUCUUGGGCAUCAUAAAAGUUUAAUCACUUUCCUUGAGACAUGGCUGGAAGACUAAAAGGUGCCAUAAUUUCCUGUCCAUUUUUGUUCUCCACCAAUUUUCCUUUUCUUUUCAUGCUAACUAUUCCCUGUUGGCUUUCUUAGAGCAAAAAUAUGAGGGAGUUGUUUAAAAUGACUUAGCAAAGAAUGUGAAUGAACCAGGAACCCCAUAUUAGACACUUAUUUUCAUGAAUUAUUUCCCGUACCAUACAACCAGUUUUAAAUAUUGCUUUGCCAAGCUACAUAUAUUAAGAUAGUUAAUAUUAUUAUUUUUACUGAUUUUUUUUUUUGCCUGCUACUGGACAGUUAUUUCACAAAGUUAAAUACAACUGCUACAAGCAUCCAUAAAAUUAACUCUACUGAAACAAGACAUUUGUAAUUUCCUUUCAAUUUUUUCAUUUUAGUUUGCAUGGUGAAGCUCAUUUACUAAAAUUAUUGGUGGAUUUAUUUUUUCCAAUUUCUUCAUUUUAUUGAUGGAUUUUUUUUCUUACAGUCAAUUUAAGAAUGUUGUUUCACAUCCAUAAUCAUUACAUUUGUAUUUUAUUGCUUUUUAUAAAGGAUGAUCCUGUUUUUUGAUUUAAAGUUGCAAAGUCCCAAAAACAUAAUACUUUAAAAAAAAUUAUGGAAGCAAAGUACGUAACAGAAAAGUAGCUUACAGCUGGUUUAAAAUAGAAGUCAAAGUAAAUAAUCUAGGAACAAUAAAACUAGAAAUAAAUUGUAUGGGAACAAAAGAGUUUUACUGGAUGUCUGUAAACCACUGUCUUUUAGAAGAAGCUGUUUCUGUAACAGACAGCACUGCUGAAGUCAUGGUUGUGAGCAGCAACCUUCCCCCUACCUUGCUCCACUCAUCAAAAUGCUAAACAGAAAAACUGACACAUUUUCAUUGCUGAGUUCUCCCUUCCUCCCCACAGUCUGAUAAUGAGAAAUGGGAACUACUGCAGGACAAGCACUUCUCACCUGCACUAAAGCCUGAACAGCAUCAAUCUGUCCAGUUAUCUUCAGGCUUUCGUCUCCUUCGCCCGUACACAAGGAGUCAAAAGAACAUGAUGUUUCCAUAUUGACAAGGCAGUGCCUGUUCCGGGCACUGUAUUCCACGAGAUUGAUCAACAGACCCAAUCCCUGCAAAAUUGGAGAGUCAAAAAGAUUACGCACAUUGGAAAAAAGAUGAUUUAGCAAAAAACAUCUAUUUAGAUAAACAUCUUUGGCCUUAUCUUUCUGAGAAUACACAGCUUAGGAAUCACUCUGACAUACAGGAGGAUCAGGAUUUAAAGAAAUACCAGAUAGAACAGAGAUCCCUGUGCAGCAGGACUUUUAUGCAGGAAUCUCUGUUUUUCUACUUCUGAACAAGAAAACAUUUUUGGAGCUGAGAAUUCCUUUACAAAGGUUAGGGAUUCAGGUGUCCAAUCCUGAACCUAUGAUCAUAAGAGAUCCUUCAUAUACACAAUUUCACUGCUGCUAUUAGGCCACUUUGACCCAUUUUAUGUAAGCUGAGGUAAAUCUGACAAACUUUUGAACUCAAACAACAAUAUCAACCAUAUUUCCAAAACUGAAAAGAUGCUUGAAAAUUAUUAAUUCACACAUUUAUUUAACUACAUCUCUUUGCUCAUUUUUCCCACCAAACACAGGGAAAAAACCCUCAAACCCACCAAAUCUUUACAAAAACUUUUAAGUACUUCACUUUAGGUAUAUAUAUUGCCACUGAAAACUGUAGGGGAAACUAUUCCUUAAGGAGCAGCUCAAUGCACAAGAAGGAGGCAAAUAAUUUUCUGUGCUAUGAGAAGCACAAGAACUUACCAGUACACGAAUAUCAAAUCUCUGUUCUUGAGGUAGGAACUUCGGAACCUGAAGCACACAAUUCAUCGCUGUGCCUAUCAGACCAUCCUGUUCACCUGUUUUUGUACUACCCCAUUCUGCAAACAAAGAGUUCAGAGGCUCAAUAGGGAAAACACAUUUGUAAUGGUAAGCAGCCUAAUCAAAACCUUUUGGCUCUAAUGACAAACCAGCCCCUCUCAGGCCAAGCCCUCAUGUGAACAUUUCACACUUGCAAUUCCUCACCCAGCUUGCAAAGACAAACCACUGAGGGCCGUAAGCAAACAUCUACCAUGGCUAACUGUUUUAUAGCACUGGACUUAAAAAACUAUCAUCAAUACAAAAAAAAUAUUUACACUAAUGGUUUAUUUGACACCCCAGCACAGAAUAUGCACAGAAUUCGUUGUCUUACCAUUAUCAUUUGUCAGGUUGAGCAAGACCCCAAUGAUGGCCCUCAUGCAGUCUUCCACGGCUUUACCCACGUGGUUGGUUACAUUCUGGUGAGGCACAGACUUAUUGUCUGGUAAACAGAUACUGUCUUCAGCACGAUUAUAUCGCUGGAUUAACUCCUCACAAUGCUGCAGUGCUCUGCAGGGAGAUGGGGCAGAACAAAAUUAUCUUCACAACAUACAGGGCACUUCACCUUUAGACUUGUUUCACAGGCAAAAAACCUGAAACAGAGCUUUAUGCAGAAUUUAUCUAACACCCAGUCUGUAGGGAGAGAUAAACUUAUCACCUGUAAAAUCUUUUAUAAGCUCAACUGAAAACUGUGCAAACAAAAACGUGGAAAUCUUAGGGCUUUAUCAGCUUGGUAUUUCAAGAGCAAGUUAAUUUUCCUUCCCAGCUUCAUCACAUGGUCUUACAAAAGAUAUCUCCUGCUCCUAAAAACCCUCAUAUCCUCUGGCACAACAUGAUUCUGAGAGUGCUACCAGAAUGUUCUCUUGUUCUCUUCUCAGAACUACUUCCAUUCAGUAAGGAAUGACACAUGGCUUCCCAGCAGUAAUAUCCUAAUCUUGUAACACUAAUGGACCACAGGCAUGACUUCAGUGCAUAACAUUAGUUUUAUGUUAAACCACCACACUGAUUUCAGUUACAAACAAAACCAGAAAUGUCAAAAAUAUAUGCUGGUUUAAUUAACAGAUUAAACUGUGGUUUGCUUAAUUUUAAUUUAAAAAACAUACUCCAAAUAUGUAACCUAUAACCAUGAAAUCACGUUUCCAAUGAGGUAUACAGAGUCCAACUUUCAGCUUCAUUUGUUCUAUUAAGAAGAGCAAUACAAGGGCAGAGAGGCUCUGCCAGCCAACUGAGACCUCACCCAGAUUGAUAAAUGGGUUAGAGGUGUUUGUACAAGAAUCUCUGCCAGGGAGAAAUGCCAAGAACGAGAUUUCACUAUUUUAAUUCUUAGUUACACUGUCAAUUCUGCUAUGCUCCAUUCCAGUAAACACUUAAGCAUAACAGAAACACAAUAAAUACAUGUGACUUCACCCUCUUCUGUGUUCCUUCUUAGUAGAGCAGGAGCUGAAUCCACAGACUGCAGCUUCUACAGACCAAACAGUAGCAGCCCUACACACUGGUAGUACUCAGGUAGUUGCCCAAACCCCCAUCUACAUGAACCUUACCAAUGAAAAAGCAACAGUGGAAAGUUUGGGGUUAUUUACCCUUAGAAUCUUCUGGUAUAAAGCAUUUAUUUUUUUACCUAUCAUGUAAGGUGUUUUGCAAAACUGGGGGUUUUGGGGAUUUUUUUCUAUAACUUACUUAGCUGAGGAGACUAUGAGCUGAGAGUCUUUGUAUGCUAUCAGAUAGCUCUGAUUUUCUGGAUUAUGCACAGUUACCUAAAGAGAGAAGGAGAAAGUAGUAUUAAAAAUAAGAGUUUUUUUCCCCUGAAAGAGAAGCAUUCCCUUUUACUACUACUAUAUUUUAUUCAGUUCCACAUUUCUUGGCUAUUAUCCAGUGUAAACUUUCACUUCUCAUUUUUCAGUAUUUCCUUGGGUUUUCAUGUCUAAAUAAGUGUGGCACUGAAGAUAAAACCAUCUUCUCUGAUGAAGUACAGAAACCACGCAGCAGAAUGCUUUGCCACAGCAGAACCCUGAAUCCACACUCUGGGACUAGAGUAUCCCAAGUGUGUAUAGAGAACAUAAACAUCUAUGUGGAAUUUUAAGGACUUGAUAUCAAAUCCACUUCUGAGAGCUUAUAAUGCAUCCAACCACAACACACAAGGUUUGCCUUGAUUCCCUUGACUGAAAUUUGGAAUCAAUUUUCAGAACAGAAGUUCUUUUCUUGGACUUGCAUGAUUUGGCAUGUUUUGAAUAUUGUCAUCUCUCCCAAGUUUCUAGGGAUCUUACUACAUCACAAACACCCCUAAGUCCAAAUAUGAUUUUUUUAACACUAGACAAGGCUCUUCUACUCUUACUUGGCAAUUCCAUCUACUAAAUAUAAAAGCAGAAAAUUACUUCGAAUUUUUUUUUCCUCACUGCUGAGAAGAAAGGUAAAGAGAAUUUUUAAGACACCUUUCAACAACUGUUCAUGUUCCUCAGUUUUUAGCUUGCAUUUACACUCUCUUUAAGUCUGUCCUAUUUGAGUGAAGAAAACAAGCAACCACUGUAACUACUUGCCCUCUAAUUUGGGUUUAAGGUGUUGAGCAAGAUUCAUUGACCUGUACUCUGACCCCAAAUGUUUGCUGAUGUGUUGCUAGAACAUAACAAGGCUCUUCUGCUUUCUUAAGGUAUCACAACAGAAACAGAGUAACAGCAGUAACAAACACCAAAGGCAUUGCAGAGAAACACACACACCAAGUAAACACCACAAAAGUAUCACGUAUUUUGAUUUUCUUACAAGUUUUCAAAGAAGUAUUUACCACCUGCAUUUACACACUCAACUGAUGACAGGACUCAUUUGCCUUUCAAGACAAUUUUCUUUUUCAGCACUUCCCCAGCUGAUGACUCAAAGUAGUGACUCUUAACAUUGAUGUAUUGCUUCUAAGAGAAUCCCACUUCUAUAAUGAUCAGUUAUUACUAGACACACAUUGGAGAGUCAAAACUCAUGCCUCAAAAACAACAUCUAUGAACAGCAGCUCUUUGUAGGAACUUAAGAGAAAAAGCAUCAUGUCAUAUUUUGUUAUUUUUAACAAAAAUAAUCUUGGAGUGUGGUACACACAUUCAGAAUAGCAAAUUAAAUUUUCAAACAUUACAGAAACACUGAUAAGCAUCAGAAAGUAAGUACAGUCUAUUAAAAAAAAUCAACCUUCUAGAACUAUAAUGUGACUAUAUACUGAAAGAAAGUAAACCAGAACUGCUUAAGAAGCAGCUUUCAGGAAUGCAAAGGAUCUGCUCAUACUCACACUUUCCAAGACCCGUAAACAUCUCUCUGCACCCCAUAACGAAGCAACCAACUUCUCUUCGUUCUCAUCACUGCUUAGGUGAUCCACACAUUCUUUAACUAAACACAAAAAGAAGUUAUUUUCCUCCAUAAGUAAGAGUUCUCCAAAAGCCAGGUGUACAAACUAACCAGCUACUCAAGAGUUAUCAACCUCGUUUUACACUUCGCACACCUCUAAUGGCAGGAAAUAAUCAUGAAAACGUGAUCAGCACUCCAAAAUUUUUAAUUUCUCCAAGUAGGUGAAAAAACCAAACCUUACAACUUUUGUCUUUACAAGUUUUAGACUGUUGUUGCAAAUUACCUAACCAUAUAUUAUUUUCUCCUGUUAGUAACAGUGUCCAGCACAUGAGUAUGUUCCUUAACUCUAAGGGAGUCUUUUACAAGAGGAAAGAGAUAGGACAAGCACACACUUCCCAGACUUUACAAGUCUGAAACAAUAAUUUGAAACUGUGUUCAAACUGAAUACUUCCAUCUUUCCAGUCCUUCCUUUGUUCUCCCACUGCUUACUAAAGACCAAGCUUUAUUCAGGUCAAGAAUUCAUUUAGAAAUGUCCAUUUUCCUAGCUAGGAGAUUCUGAUCAAAAACACUCUAACAGGCGUAUCUUUGAACCCUCCCCCCGCCUUUCUCUUGAAGGGUUUACUUCCUUUGGUAGAUAUAUCUGGUCUGAAAAUAAUUCUAGAAGACUAUAAAGGAGAUUCUACUCAAGAAUAAGUGUGCUCUACAGAGAUAUGUAACAGCAUUCUGUCCAAGCUUAAGCCAUUCUUAUUCUCAUACAUUGUAAUGCCACAUUCUACACAUUCUGUUUAACAUGAAAACUACUUUCAAUCCCACCAGAAACAGAUUAAAAUCACUAAUAUUUCUCAGUUACUUGAUAUGGAUUUGUGUAUUUUAUUUUCAAUACUGCUGAGAAAAAUACAUAAUAUUUCUAUUUUUAACCACAGGAAAUUAACAUUACAAAAAGCAAUCAUUUUGUUACAAUUCAUUUUUUCUCAUGCUGUCAAAGCAGUAUCCCCACUAUACCUUUAUCUACAAUAUGAUCCAGACCACCCAGAAGUCGCAGCUCCUCUUUAAACCAGUCCCCAGCUCGCUUUGAGGUGAGAGACAACAGCGUUUCCAUUGCCAAAUGCCCAGUCUGGAAGAGGGAGGUCCGGAGUUAGUGAAAUCAUCGUGUGCAGCUGCAGCCAAUGCAGCAAGUCAUACAAAUACACGUCAUAGGAAAACCACAAAAACGAAAGUACAGAUUCUGAGAACCACCACCAGAGGGAGCAAGAACAGACUGGAGAAUAUGCGUAUCUCUAAAAAAAUGACAGUACUGAUAAAAAAAGGUACUUUGCAUUUUCAAAUUUUCUUUAUUAAUAGCUUAGAAAACCCAAGCAGAUUCCUGUUAUCUGUUUCUCUUGCUAUCAAAAUCAAAAGUGGAGGAAAGCAAAUAGACAAAUCAGCCAGGCAGUAAAAAAAUCAAGAAAAUCCCCAGUGAACACAGCUUCUCAACCUCUCAGAUACACCGGCUUUGCGGCCCAUAGAUCACAUUUGCUUCCAAUGUAGGUAUCUUGUGGUUUUAAUUUUAAACCUACAGAAUAAAGCAAUUGAACUGAACAACUGCAGGAAACCUGCAUAUAUUUACUGAAACACUUUUUUGGAAAAAAGGAGGAACACACAUAUAAAUUCAGCAACAGUAAAGGUACAUUCACUCCCUGCAAAUGGAAUUAGAGCAGUACUCAACAGGCUUGAGCAAACACUCCAUUGUCUCAGUAUGAGCCCUCCCCCCACUCCCCAGCAACUCCAGCUGCUUUUCUUGCUUUCAAAAUACUUGAUUUCCAAGGAGGAAAAGAAAGUUGAAGAUAGAUAAAGAAGUUCUGGGUUGUAGGAGCAAGCCCUGCAGCACAUUGUCACUAUAAGUGUAACAGUAAACAGCAUUUCUCCAGGGAAAAUGGAAGAAUCCUUGGGUCAGCAAACGGUUGUGUGGAUCAAGAGAACACAAGUAGCAGCAAAUCUAUAGCAGGUAAGUUAAUUUCUUAAAUACCUACACCACAAAAGUCAAAGGCCACACAAUAUUUAAAAUAGAGUGAUUAGUUUUCUGCCAGAGGGCAUUAAGACUUCAAAUAACCCUUAAAGAAUAUAAUCUUAUAUUUGCACACACUUAAUAAGGACACAAAUUUUCUCCUUUUUUUUUUUUAAUAAAAGCAGUGAAACCUCAUAAUCCUUUUUGCUUUUGAAUAAAAUAAUUACAUUCAAAUUUUCUGUCAAUUACUAUAAAAUUUUAACACCAAAGGCCCAAAACAUGGUUGCCUUAACAUUUCAGCCUUAUGCUGAGAGUGAAAACAAGAAUAAGCUCUUUCACCAUGUGAAAACAGAAGUCACUCCUGAUUUUGUUAUGAUGCAAUAAUGAGGAGGCAGCUGCAAAAGCAGGAGCUCCAGAGGGCUGUGCUCCCUGACAGAUGAGGGCCAUUUGCUGAGGUGAAGGCCAGGUUCUUCAGGUUUAUCUUCCUCUAAUGCAGCACAGCUAGCCUGGAACAAAUUCCAGUUGCACACACCUCCUUCUUGGUUCUGGGUUUAUGUUUUUCAUGUAAAUAGCCAUCAAGAAAACAGAACCUUUGAAUACUCAAAAAUUAGUCCAGCCUUACUUCCAGACAGACACACAAACAAUGUUGUCUGUGGAAAGAGGGAGCCAAAUUGAUCACCUUUACUUGAUCUGUGUAAGAGUCAAACAAGCGAAGGUGCGACUGGUUAGGCACAAACUGGAGGUAUAAAAACAUCUGCUGCAAUCCUCUUGUUUCUCACUGGGUAUGUCUGAGUCUGAAAAAGCACAGAGCUUUUCUUUACCCCCAGAAGAUUUGCAUUUUUUUUUGCAUUUUCUGCCUGUCAUUUAGUACAAAACACAGAUUACUUAUUGUAUCUCAUGACAGGGAUCUACAUGAAAGCAGCUUGAUCUUCAACAUAUGAAGUUCAUUAUUGUCUCAACUUACCACUGCUACUAUUUUAAACUGGAAGAGAACCUAAUCAUCUCAUUUGGCUUGCAAAUAUUCUCUAAAUACUAUACAGUCUCUGCUUCUAGAUAGUGCAGCUGGGAGGAAACCAGUUUCCAUCUGUGAGGUACUACAAUAUUCAAUGCAUUUACAGCAACAGCUCAAAAUAAAUUUAAGAAAUAGAGCUGCCUCAGGGAAAAACCCUCAAAUAAAGCAGCUGAAACUGAUGGCCGAGGAUAUUAAUGCUCUUUACUCAUGAACAACUUCCUCACAAGACAGAGACCCUUUUGAUAUGUCCUCUCCUUUUAAAACCCAUGUCUAAGGAAACACAAGAACAGAAUUACAGUUCAUAAAAAAGCAACAGGCUAGAUCAGAUUAUGAAUAUGAGAAAAGCUCAAGCAGGAGACAGUGGUCUUUGUGGCUGGAUGCUUUAGCAAUGAGGAACCUGCACCAGCUGUUCCAUGCUUAAUAAAGGGAGCUGUCUAACAUUUUACAGUGCAAGAGAUAUCCUGGCACUGACAAACUCUGCUAUGUGAGCUGCCUUCAGUGCCAAAACAGCACUGAAAGAAGACUCUGAUUAUCCCAAAUCCUAGCUGAUCACCACCUAGAGAACAAAUUUCAGUCUGUGGUGGUGUUUUCAGACUAUAAACUGAAAGUGCAGAAUAUUACCUCAUGUUCCUUCUUUCUCUGCAGAUUUCCAAGGCCAGAAAGUUAAUUCAAGCUCCCUACCAGUACCUUUCAUAUGCUUGUAUGAAACAAGCCCAAAAAUUUAAAAUUGUAAUCCAUUGUCACCAUAAUCCGAUUACCAAAGUUAACAAUGAUGUCAUGGAUAUUAUCUUCCUCACCCAAAAUUCAGCUCCUGCUAAAGCUACACAACAGUGACUCUUCAUAUCAAUUCAGCUCUCUGUUCCAUAGCCAGAAUUUGCAGAGAAAACACCCCAAGGAAACUCUUCCUAAACUGACACAAGUCCCAAAAGCUACAGAACAAAGUGCCAGCUCAACAAGGCACAUCAUCUUUUAGUCCAGCUGAAUAUGGAACACAAUCCUGACUGCAGAUUACUGCCAGGAGUUGGAACAUUACUUGCACAGACAAAGCUCUGAAAAGCUCACUUCAUAAGCAAUAAAUCAGAAGCUUCUCCCAUUGAGUGUAAGCGUUACAGGAAAAAGGGUAUAAGCAUUACAGAAAAAAAGGCAGAAACCCUCAUAAGAAUCUUGAAUAGAAUGUAUUACAGGAUGUCCAAAAAUUAAGAUCAUACUAACAUCAACUAUACUGAAAUAUGGCAAAAGCAAAAACACAUUACUUCUUUUUGUCAUUUAUGGCCACUCAUCUAAUCAAUCUGUCAAUCAAUUUUUGAAUUACAUUCUUCUAAAAAACCUUGCAACUCAGCCUUUUUAUUUUCUGAGCUAGCUUGAUGAUAGCAUCCAAUUUCUUUUUGAACAGAACCGGCUCACUCUGCUACUGAUGAAGGUAUUUUCAUAAAGAGCAAGUAUGUUUGAGAAAGCAAGGAAAAAAUUCAUCCACAUUCAUGGUAAGCAACAGAACUGCCACCACAUGUUGGGUAGGGAAAAAUCAGUUUCUGCAGGAUGUUUCUUUUUUUUUAAAUGUGAAAAAUCUGCACCACAGUUUUAAUUUAGCACACAAUAGUCUUACUCCCAUGCACAAUCCCCUGUUUGUGAAAGUACUUAUAAAACUCAGGCAAAGAAAUGGAGUCAAUCUAAGUGUGGGCUUUAAACACACAUUUAUUUAGUGUUACUUGUUUGCAACUGCUCCCUGUAACUAGCUACUCUUAGCAGGGGCAAGCAGACUCAGACAGCUGAAGAACAUCUUAACUUUAUCCAAAUAACAACCUUUGAAAACGGAAAUUUCAAAUUUGAAGAAAGCACUUGCAGUGCAGUCAGGUAUAUAAAAAAGGUAGAUGAAACACCAGGAACCCUUUGCUGGGGAUGUGAAAUGAAGGAUGAUGCUUGCAAGUUCCAUUUUAUUAAGCAUUCCACAACUGUGAAGGCUUUCCAAUAAAAGCACGUUACCCACCGUGAUGUUUUCGAGAUCAAGAUGUUUGUUGUGAACAGUCUCACACAGUCUCCGAAUUUUUUCCUUAAUUUUAUUCAUGUCUUUUUCAUUCAGCAGCUUGGCAGAAGAAGCAUCUUGUUCCAAUUCUAGAAGCCGUAUCAUCAGAUCUAGACUAGCUCUGUCUAGAUCCAUGUUCAAGCGAUCUCUACUAAGGAUGUACAUUAGAGCUGCUGUACAAAGGGACAAAUUCUUGGGUUGGGAGAGAAAGAAAAAAAAAAACAGUUAGUGUUUACUAAUCAUUUUAGGCAGACUUUUCACUAUUUUUAAUAAACAAGCUGAAGAUUCAUAAAAGAAAAUGCCUGACAGGCACUUACAUGAGCACCCACUGUCAAAUGGAGAUUCCUUCUAGCAAGUUACUAAAGCAUGACAAAUAAAACCAAGACAUAAAGCACUCAAUAUAUUUACAAAGCCCUAGUAGAAGAGCAGGGAUUUCUACUUCUUAGAGACUCAGUGCUGCAGACAGAAUAAGAAAUAGUAACUCCAGUGACACAAUAUUAGAGAAGAGACAGAUGGCAGGGGAACAAAGUGCAACAGCUCUGGGUACAUGGCAAGUAGGUGAACAUUCUGGUUCGAGGGGAUGAACUGGUGACAGCACCAGAAAAUCCAGGGAUCAUGGGGACACUGUCUGCAGAGAGGGAGUGCCUGGGGACAUAAAUUCUGGCUCUGCCAAAUGGGUCUGUCAGCUAAUAAUUUAUCCAAACUUUUCCAGCAUAAACACACUUUCUUUCCAGGGGAAUUCUGCUUUUCAGAAGUAGCCAGAGUAUAAACCAGCUUCCCCUUGUCCAUCCCCAUUAGCCCUUAACACGUGAAUGUAAUUAACUUGACUGCUCAUAUUUUACACAGAAUUGGUGUACAGGCACAUCUGACUGGCUAAAGAAUACUUGAUUCUUCCUGAAGAAGGAAUUAAAUUCUAUCUUCAUGAGGCUCCAAAAAAGCCAGGGCAGAAGAUGACUGUCAGGAAGGGACAGACAGCAGUGAAGCAAAGCCAUCCAUCCCUGGUGUCUAAGUACCACACCUGCACUGAGAGCACUGAACUCCAGGUUACAGGAAAGAGGAGAAAUAUUCACUGGGAACAGAGGUGUGCUGGGCACAAAACUGUCAGAAACCUCUGUCAAUAACUGGAGGAGUUGAGAGCUGGGGCAUGUGUGGGGCAUGUGUGCUCCUACUGAGUUCAACCCUCAGGAGUCAAUAUGCUGCAUGCAUCCAUCACAAUUGUUUCUGUAUAAGAUAUAUUAGACAUGGAAACAAACUAAUUCUGGAAUAUAAAUGUUGUACAGCUCAACAGGAAAGAGCAGAAUUCUGUGUCAUAGCAGAUUAACAUCUUGUUUAGACUUCAGCCAACCACCAAAGCAGUCAUUAUCUACUCUGUUUAUUCUAGAAGUAAGUAAUAGUCAUACCUGGUCAUACUAAGCAGUAUCAGCAUUUCCAAGACAGGAUUAGGCAGCUGACAGUCUACCAAAAGUUAUGUCAAAACUCCUUCCUGUCCGACUUAAGGAAAUCCUCAGGUGAAUAAAGACUUUAAUCUGACCAACUACCCAAGACACAUUUGAACUACCAAAGGAAGGAAGCAAGUUUCCAAAUCUACAUCUUUCAUGAAUACAGGGUUAUUAAAAAACCCCACAACUCUCAGCUGUGAGCAGCACUAUCCCAGCCUUUUAUCACUACUUCAGCCUUGCCAGAUGUAAGCCAGAAAGCAUCUAUGUGACCUGUCUGCAGAAGCUGGCUUGAACUGUACAGGUUUCUUGAAGAACUGGGUUCUUCCAGAAUGGUGGUAAUCAAAACAGGACACAGGAAUGCAGACAUUCCAGAGGAACCAAAGGUUAGCUAAUUAUUGUUCAGCCAACAUGGGACUUCAACAUCUACGAAGAACUAUAUUUUAAUGACCAGAAUUAUCUAGGUGAGUUUCCUGGUUUAAAAAAAAUGCUGAAGGUCCCCAGAGAGUUUCUAUCAACUACAAAGUAUGCAGCAGUUAACAGAGGGAAAGUGCUGAACUUAUAAUCUGGGCUGGCAUUAUUUAAGCAUUUUAAGAAGUCAGAGACUGUUCUUAAGAUCAUUACUCAGAAAUGCUUUACAGAUACCCCAAAGUCUGGUAAGGGCAAUCACACUCACUCUGUAAACAUCUGUACCAAGCCCUUGCCUGUUCCAGGUUCCCUUCCUUUCAACCCAACCAGCUUUCCAUUAUGAAGGGAGUAAUGGUUCUUUUUCCAUCUGCAUCAGCUCUGCUGACACUUCCCUUCAGACUGGCCACCAGGUCUCAACACACUUAAAUGUGAUCAGAUCACCAAGACACAAUGCAGGUUUAAGGCUGCAGCAGGGCUGCUGGGAAAGCAAAAAGGGUGGACUGGCUCUGGGAAACAAGAGCCAGGCUCCUGCCACAGCACAUACACAGCAGAGAUUCAGGCCAAUAAGCCUCCAAAUGCUGAUGUGCAACAGGAGAAUAUUGCUGAUAUAAAAGUAAGGACCUCAAAUGUGAAUGGUGCUUACAGCAUGGAACAAACCUGUUUUAGCUUCAUACCAGUGAGAAGGGUUUUGUAAAGCUGGUUUCUCCUAGUCCCUAUUGUCUUCAUCUUGAAUAAAACAAUUCUACAUUUUGCUCUGAUCUUCUGUAAGUGUUUAACUAACCACACUGCCUGAAAGCUAUCUCAUGCCCUACCACACACACAAUUCUGAGAUUGGAAUGAGGGGAAAAUUGUUGUUACAACUCAUAUUUGAUCAGUAUUCUAAGAGAACAAAAAAAUCCAACCAAAGCACCAUAUCAAUCCUUCCAAAUGUCACCCUUACAGACCACAGUAGAAGAGGAAUUUUUGAGUGAGCUUCCCCCAUCUCAUUCCACUCCUUAAGAUGCGUAAACCACAUUCUGCUUCCAAAUAAAUGCAGAGAAGGGAAAAAAGUAAAAUAAAUAAAAUUUGCUCUAGACAUAAAUUUCAUGGUGUAUCUAACUAUGGAUUUGCACUCCAUAUUUCUACAGAAUUCAGGAAAACAUCCUAGUUUGAACAUACACUCCAGAAAUGGCAGACCACUUACACCCACUCUCAUCCUUGUCUUCUCUUGCUUGUUCUAUUUAUACUCCAGCUUGUGGGAACAGAUGGUUAUUUUCUAGGGUUCAGCACUACAUAUAAUGCACUUUUAUCUUUUUUUUAAGUUAUUCUCAUGCUGAAGACAUUAUAAAACCACAUUUCUGUGCUUAACUACUGACAGCUAUAAUGGAACAGUUUUUAUUUUAAAAAUUAAUAAUACUUCAAAAUCUUUACAGAGCACCAUUGAAGAGACAAAGUCAAUUAAAAACUUAUGCUUAAACACAAGGCUACAGGAGAAAUUUGGCGGAACAAGUAAUUU